rnacentral:rRNA from 1 species
AGUCGAGGGGUAUAAGUAGCAAUACUUAGAGACCGGCGCACGGGUGAGUAACGCGUAUGCAACCUGCCCUUUACUGGAGGAUAGCCCGUAGAAAUGCGGAUUAAUACCCCAUAGUAAUGUUGGAUCGCAUGAUCUGGCAUUUAAAGUUUCGGCGGUAAAGGAUGGGCAUGCGUGACAUUAGCUAGUUGGAGAGGUAACGGCUCACCAAGGCUUCGAUGUCUAGGGGUUCUGAGAGGAAGAUCCCCCACACUGGUACUGGGACACGGACCAGACUCCUACGGGAGGCAGCAGUGAGGAAUAUUGGUCAAUGGGCGAGAGCCUGAACCAGCCAUCCCGCGUGCAGGAAGAAUGCCCUAUGGGUUGUAAACUGCUUUUUCGCAUGAAGAACACCCCUGACGUGUCAGGGGCUGACGGUAAUGCGUGAAUAAGCACCGGCUAACUCCGUGCCAGCAGCCGCGGUAAUACGGAGGGUGCAAGCGUUAUCCGGAUUUAUUGGGUUUAAAGGGUGCGUAGGCGGCUAUUUAAGUCAGUGGUGAAAUCCUGCAGCUUAACUGUAGAACAGCCAUUGAAACUGAAUAGCUUGAGUGAUCUUGAGGUAGGCGGAAUGUGUAGUGUAGCGGUGAAAUGCUUAGAUAUUACACAGAACACCGAUUGCGAAGGCAGCUUACUAAGGAUUUACUGACGCUGAUGCACGAAAGCGUGGGGAUCAAACAGGAUUAGAUACCCUGGUAGUCCACGCCGUAAACGAUGAUAACUCGCUGUUGGCGAUACACAGUCAGCGGCUUAGCGAAAGCGUUAAGUUAUCCACCUGGGGAGUACGCUCGCAAG